GUAACGCGUUUUGCUGAAAUAUACCAGCAUAUGAGCAUAUAAAUAGUUUGGUCAGUUUGUGAUGAUAUUGUGUUUGUGAUAACGAUAUUAUCAAAGUGUGCGAAUUAAUGAUGAAUCGCUGCAUCUAACAAUAAAUAAGUUACUGACGUAGUGCAAUUAUCGUAUGUUCCGCUAUUUCAACUGAGGAUACAUUUAUUCGACCUUGAAUGCACAGUCAUAGAGAAAAUUACAAUAUUCAUCAAUUUUAAUGUAAAAAGUGACGAUGAUUAAUUAAUUAAAGGUAUUAAAAUCUUGUGCAAUUCAAAUUAUACACGUUGACCAACAUGACUGUCCAUUAAACAAAAUACAUUAAAGAAACGUUCAAUAAUGAAUUGGACAACGUCUGCGCAUUUGCAUUUGAACAGAUUAUCGCACGGAAAAUUAAAGUUAACAGGUGGAUGGGAAAUUCACCAUAAUAGAUAUUUAUUCAGGUUCUUGUAACACGCAAUGGAAUAUUUAAAGAUUACGUAAAAUCAAAGUUGUUUUAUUGUAUAGAUUGCAACGAGAUCAAGAAGAAUGGAUCGCGAUUUCCGGUAGUAUCGUUACCUUCGCUUGAUAAACUUCACAAUUCGUAUUUUGCGCAUUCAGACUUUUAAUUAUGGACUUGAAUUUAUUUUAAUUUGUUCAAACAAACUUACGAUAGUUUCAAAUAGAUUAUAUAUAAACUAUUUCAUAUGUUUUCACUCUUUAUAUCGAAAACGAACAAUCAUGUUUAAAGUAUAUGUACAAAUAUAUUCUUAUUGGCUGACUACCGUUCAAUUUAAAUGCUUUAUGUACUUAUUACCAUAUUAAUUUCCUUAGAUAUGCAAUUUACAGUCACACCUGUUAUUCCAAUAAUUUUUCCCUCACUCCUCUCAUAUUUCCUGAAAUCGAUGACACAGGCAUAAAUCAUCGAUACCGAUAAUAAUUAAUUGACAAUGCUACUAAAAAAACAUUUGGAAACAUUACAAUAGAUUUAUCUAACGAGAUGUAAUUAAUCCUUACUGAAAAAUGUACGUACUUUAAAAAAUAUCUGUUAAUCUAUUCACUAAACUUGAUGGAUAAAAAUUCGAUCUUCAUUACAAAAAAUAAAAAAUAUAAAAUUAAACCAAAAGAAAACGAGAGAAAGAGAUAAAUUAACAAUUUUGUUGAAGUAUAAUUCUGACAACAUCAAAGUUCAAUUUUUUUAUUAAGUAAACCGUGAAGUUGCAUAAACAUUCGCAGUUUAUAUAUGGUCGUUUUCAAUCCAUUAAUCAUUCAUCUUCAUUAAUAUUUUGGAUGAUAUACAAUCUAAAAAUAAAAAUUCAAAGGAAG